GCCUCCAGCUCCGAGACAAACAGCAGCAGCGUGAGAGCCUGUGUGCGCUCGUGGAUUCUGCAUCUGCUUCCACUGCACCGCCUUCUCUCCUUCUAAUCUUCCCGUCUCCCUGGAACACAAAUCUCACAGUGUUCUGCUCUUAUUGUCUGUGGCCUCGAUAACUUUCAGCACAAACUGCCUCACAGAAGUGGAAGAAGUAACUUAAUAAUGGACUCCAGACGGAUAACCUUGCGGUAAUUUACAUCGACUCCCUCUCGAAAAACAGGGCUGAUAAAUAUGCACUGCGCCUGGAGAAAUAGUGCGGCUCUGGAAAUUGUUGUCCUUGUCAUGACGUAAAACUGUCCACACUAAAGGUCACGAGGUCAGUGUCAUUCUGUCUGUGGGUAAUAGAUCUGUGUCGCUGUCCAGCCCAGAAAGUCCCGCUCAUAAAAAUUCUUACCAAACAACAAAUGUUCACUCAGGGAUUUGUGGGGAAAAUGUUCGAUUUUAGCAGCUGAUUGAUUUCAAUAUUGCAAAAAAACAAUAAAAACAGCAUCUAAACCUUAAA